CAGCAGCCGCGGGAAUACGAAGGGGGCUAGCGUUGUUCGGAAUUACUGGGCGUAAAGGGCGCGUAGGCGGCCAUUCAAGUUAGAUGUGAAAGCCCUGGGCUCAACCUAGGAAUUGCAUUUGAUACUGUUUGGCUUGAGUUCGGGAGAGGUGAGUGGAAUUCCCAGUGUAGAGGUGAAAUUCGUAGAUAUUGGGAAGAACACCAGUGGCGAAGGCGGCUCACUGGACCGACACUGACGCUGAGGCGCGAAAGCGUGGGGAGCAAACAGGAUUAGAUACCCCCGUAGUCCCUGUCUCUUAUAC
rnacentral:rRNA from 1 species